UCGAAUCGCCGUCGAAAAUGA
rnacentral:piRNA from 1 species